CAGUAGCCACGGUAAUACGGAGGGAGCUAGCGUUAUUCGGAAUUACUGGGCGUAAAGCGCACGUAGGCGGCUUUGUAAGUAAGAGGUGAAAGCCCGGAGCUCAACUCCGGAACUGCCUUUUAGACUGCAUCGCUUGAAUCCAGGAGAGGUGAGUGGAAUUCCGAGUGUAGAGGUGAAAUUCGUAGAUAUUCGGAAGAACACCAGUGGCGAAGGCGGCUCACUGGACUGGUAUUGACGCUGAGGUGCGAAAGCGUGGGGAGCAAACAGGAUUAGAUACCCGCGUAGUCCCUGUCUCUUAUAC
rnacentral:rRNA from 1 species